rnacentral:misc_RNA from 1 species
UCUCCGUUGGUGAACCUGCGGAGGGAUCAUUCAAGGACUCGCAAGUCUCCUUCUUCCUGUGAACAUCACUACCAGCAGGUUGCUUUGGCGGGUGCUUCGGUGGGGGUAUCGCCUACACGGCACCCUAAUUCCGUAGCCCGCUUACUAUAAUAUGUUAUGUUUAGUCUGCAUCACGAGACAACAUAAAACAGCUAAACCUUUCAACAACGGAUCUAUUGGUCCCGGAGCCGAUGAAGAACGCAGCAGACUGAAAUCGAACAACUCUGAACUCCAGCCUAG